GGAUGUGAGGGCGAUCUGGCUGAGACAUCUGUCACCCCACUGAUCACCAGGGUUGAUUGGGCUGAUCUGUCUGGCUAGGAGGGUGUCCCCUUCCUCCCUCAUUGCCCCGUGUGUGUCCCUUCCAAAGCUGCGCGCUUGGUCAAAGAGGAUGAUCUUCCCCAAAUAGAGACAGUUCGUCUUCUGCCAAGUGUGUAUGUGGAGCUGCACUCCCUUGCUAGAACCUCCAAACAAGCUCUCAAAGUUCAGAAGGAGAAUCUGUAACCCAGGAGGUAGCACAGUGAGUGAUUCUGAGGUAAGACCCCAGGCAUUUCAUGUGGCAGAGUGAUGCUCUAG
rfam:Erinaceus europaeus unplaced genomic scaffold scaffold00463, whole genome shotgun sequence